UACAGAGGUCUCAAGCGUUGUUCGGAUUCAUUGGGCGUAAAGAGCUCGUAGGCGGUUUGUCGCGUCUGCCGUGAAAGUCCGGGGCUCAACUCCGGAUCUGCGGUGGGUACGGGCAGACUAGAGUGAUGUAGGGGAGACUGGAAUUCCUGGUGUAGCGGUGAAAUGCGCAGAUAUCAGGAGGAACACCGGUGGCGAAGGCGGGUCUCUGGGCCGAUACUGACGCUGAGGAGCGAAAGCGUGGGGAGCGAACAGG
rnacentral:rRNA from 1 species